GGAUCCAAGUCAGCUCACCCAAUUUGGCACUCUCCAGAUGGACUUUGAAAGAAAGUGAACACUAAGUUCAGGAAGACUUUCCAGCCAACAAGGAAGUUAGAUGGCACCCAAGUAGCAAAGGAGUUCAGUUGGGUUUAUAGGUUUAGAUAAAGCUGUCACUUAUUGCCAAAAAAUGGGUUCCAAAUAAGUAAUUGUACAAUCAUAUGUUUUUCUCAGGAAAAGAAGCAGAUAACAUUUAUACAGUAAUGGGAUUUUGUAUUCAGUGUUUUGUUUUAUAGUAUGAAGAGUAGUGGCCUGUUCUUUAAAACAUCUGGGAAAGCUCUUGAGACUUAUAAAUACAGAGGUGCCAAUACUACAGAGCAUAAUCUAGGGUUAAGUCCCAAUGAUUUCAGGAGAUAUGUUGUUGUUCAAUAAAUCCUUUGCAUGUUCUUGUCCCA